rnacentral:lncRNA from 1 species
CUCAGCUCUACAUCCUAAGAAUCUUAACAAUGGCCCACAGCUAGCCAGGACUCAUCUACCUGCUGAAAGAGAGCACAGUGUGACCCAGGAGGGGAAGUGUCAUGGGGGCUUUUACUGAGCAUUCUGGGGAUGAUGGAAGUUUCAGACUACAUGGGAUUUCCAGGGCCUCAAACAUCUGCACAUUCUCAACUGCCUCCGAAAAGACGGCUCCAUCAUCCCUGGGACCUCAACGGCAAGAAUUUAGCUUAAUGCAGCCACAUUUCUCCGACUUUACUCUCAGGGCCUCCAGUACGAGUUCCCUUGCACUGACAUAAAUAAAG